rnacentral:misc_RNA from 1 species
GAUGAAGAACGUAGCGAAAUGCGAUACUUGGUGUGAAUUGCAGAAUCCCGUGAACCAUCGAGUCUUUGAACGCAAGUUGCGCCCGAAGCCAUCAGGUUGAGGGCACGUCUGCCUGGGCGUCACAUAUCGUUGCCCAAUGCCUAUUGCAGUGCAAUAGGAAUUUCUAGGGCGAAUGAUGGCUUCCCGUGAGCGUUAUUGCCUCGCGGUUGGUUGAAAAUCGAGUCCUUGGUAGGGUGUGCCAUGGUAGAUGGUGGUCGAGUUAGAACGAUACCGAUCAUGUGCAUGCUCCCCAAAAUAUGGCCUCUAUGACCCACACGCGUCUUUUGACGCUCAUGACGAGACCUCAGGUCAGGCGGGGCUACCCGCUGAAUUUAAGCAUAUCAAUAAGCGGAGGA